CAGAGAGGGCACCGUUGAUCCGAAUGCGGGCUGAAGGGGUUGUCUAGAGGGCCAACAGCGCAGGUGAGGGCUGAAUCACAUAUGACGUAGUGUGGCGUCAAGAUAUGUCCAGUCCAUCCGGUCAAAUGCCUUUACAGCAUCUGUGGAGAUGAGCACCAGAUCUCUUUUUGUCGACUGGGCGGAGUGGAUGAUGUUGAGGGCUCUGAUGGUAUUGAUGG